CUUGAGCGAGCCCAGCCAGAGUGGCCGCUCCGGCGGGCGUCCGCGCCCAUAGGUGUUGAUCAGCGCGCCGGCUUC
rfam:Pseudomonas syringae pv. spinaceae strain ICMP16929 PspICMP16929_Contig_104, whole genome shotgun sequence.